AGUGAACGCUGGCGGCGUGCUUAACACAUGCAAGUCGAACGGAUGAAAUAAGCUUGCUUAUUUCGUUAGUGGCGCACGGGUGAGUAAUGUAUAGCUAACCUGCCCUUUAGUGGGGGACAACAGUUGGAAACGACUGCUAAUACCCCAUACUCCUUCUUAUCAUAAGGUAAGUCGGGAAAGAUUUAUUGCUAAAGGAUGGGGCUUUAUUGUAUCAGCUUGUUGGUGGGGUAAUGGCCUACCAAGGCGAUGACGCAUACCUGGUCUGAGAGGAUGAUCAGGCACACUGGAACUGAGACACGGUCCAGACUCCUACGGGAGGCAGCAGUGGGGAAUAUUGCACAAUGGGGGAAACCUUGAUGCAGCAACGCCGCGUGGAGGAUGACGCAUUUCGGUGUGUAAACUCCUUUUAUAAGGGAAGAUAAUGACGGUACCUUAUGAAUAAGCACCGGCUAACUCCGUGCCAGCCGCCGCAGUAA
rnacentral:rRNA from 1 species